AUACAAUGUAUCAUAUUCUUACAAAAGUAUCGUUAACAGCUGUACAUAGAAUAAGAUAUUAGCCACAAGUCACCAGCUUCAGGAUAAAUUACAUACAUUAGUAGUUACAUAUACAUGUGUGCCUGAAACGGUCUAAGGCACUGAAUUGUUUCCGUACGCCCUAACUGUAAGACCUCUGGGGCGAGAGGAAAGGAAGGGUGGGAGGGUUGGCGAAGUUGAGCUAUGGCAGUGAAAUUUUGUACUGUAUCGUGGUGAAAAGCUGUUACAUUGGGUAGCACUCUUUACAUAGAAGCCCUUGGAAAGUAUCAUGUACAUAAUCUCAAUUACAUCUUGCCGUACCUAUAAUCCACCCAUCUGCUCCACCUUGUUUCAUGUCUGCUCUGCCUCUCAGUGAUGCGACUUGCCAUGCGCUCGUAAUUAUAAAUCGAAUCUAGUCUACCUAAAAUCUCUGAUAGCGUGGGAGCUUGUGUGGAUUUCCACUUUUGGGCAAUCGCUGUUUUAGUUGCCAUGAGGCAGUGGAUCAUUAAGUAGCUUUCAUCUUCAUGGAGGUUGUCUGGGAAGAUGUGUAAUAAAAAACAUUCUGGUGUCGGAGGUACCCCGAUCCCUAGGUUUUUGCAAAAAAGUGUGUGGAUGUCUUGCCAUAAUGAUGUGAUCUGUGUACAAUUCCAAAAUAUAUGGUAAAGGGAUCCCUCUUGAUUGUGACAUCUCCAACAUAGUUUGUUCGCUCCUGGGUAUAUGUGGGCCAGUUUGUUGGGGACCAGGUACCAUCGCAUGGUUAGUUUGCAGUACGUUUCCCACUGAUUAAGGCUGUGUGAGGCCUGCUUUGUUAGCUUCUGAGCCCGAUGCCACGUGUUUACUGGGAAAUGUAGUCCCAGGUCCAAUUCCCAGUUUGUCAUAUAGGAGGGUUUUGUUGCCGUGUAUUGUGUAAGAAGUGUAUUGUAGCAGAGGGCUAGUGCUU